AGAAAUUAUAUGAAAUUAUUCUUUGGAGAAAAACAAAUAAUUAAAUUCUUUUUAGUAGGUAUAAAAAUAAAACAUAACUAUGCAGCUUAUUAUAAAAAUAUAAUAAAAUAAUGUAAGACACCUUACAACUAAAAGAAAAUACCUAAGCGGCUCACUAAUGUAUGAACAAUACACUGAAAUACGUUCCACAGAUAAUAAUAUCUAUGACAUUGCAAGUACGUACUCUGUGGUACUAAUUCGUAAACUAAAAUACUAAAUUGACAGGACCAAACGUAGCGCCCUCCUUGUCACAUGUUUCUUGUGGAAAAGGACGGCAUGAGGUUUAGUCCUGUUAACAAAGUUUAGUUUUAUGUAUCAAAUUAGCAUCUGCGUGUAGGUACCCUGCAUAGUCUGUGGUCAAAUAAAAUGUUUAAAGCACUUUACACACCAAAGUCAGCGGCUUAUACGGAACACAAUAUGAUUCCAAAGCCGGCAGAACAAGCACACAUUUAGUAAAUGCAAAACCUAAGCCGCCGGCGGCUUCGGUGUGUAGAGCGCUUAUAGAUACAAAAUAAAUAAAAAGAAAGAUCACAAAAUACUGAUAGUAAUUUAGGAACUAAUAAUAACCUGUGAUAGGUUAAUAUUUUUAAUUCCAAAAUUAGUAAAAAAUAAAGGGAGCGUUUUAAAUACAAAUACUAGUGAAAUCAUCCAUAGACAAACCUCUCUAUCACAGUUGUCGAAAUGCACGAAAAUCUACACCUCUGUUCACACUGAUGCUUUGUGCCUAACUUUAUUUCUAGCAGAAUGUGUUUAUUAGGAAAAACAAAUGCAACUAAAAACAAAUUAUGCAGCACAGGAAAACCACGAAGUAGAAGUAAGUUUUACUUACAAUACCUACUUGAAGCAAAUACCUAUCACACUUUGACUGCCGAGUGAGAAUCAAAAAUCAAUUAAAUAUAUUUUUAAUCGACGAUGGAUGUAAAGCCAAAAUGAACUAUUAUAUUUUUGAUCAUCUAGGCACUAGGUAUACUCUAUCAAUCUAGAUAGAUACAUGCGUCGCCAUUUUUGUAAAAAAUCAAAAUUUUCGAACACCUUUAUGAAAAAUUCUUUAACAUUUGACUAAUAAAAUCGUUUUUAACGAUAUUAGAAAGUAGGUACCUACCUACUUGUGUGCAAUAUAUAAAAUUUCUUUAUAAAAAAUUUAAAUUUUUUUAUACUAAAAUAAAAAAAAAUAGUUUGUCAAAUGAUAUCAUCAUCAGUGUAAAUAGAGGAUAAUGCAUUAUCUGUCGUAAUAUAAAGCUAAGUGCGAUCAUGGCGUAAUCUUACAUCUAUGUCUUACGAUAAGUAACGGGGAUUGUCUAUGGCCAUAAUGGAGGCUAACUUGAGUAAAUAGAUUAAAAAUAAAAAGUUACUUUGUAGUUUUGCGGCAAACAUAUCUUUUUAUAGUGCCAAUAUAACUAAGACUUAGGUUGAAAUCUAUAGAGCGCACUUUGACUUUGCUUAGACUUAAGUUUCAGUUAAAACGAGACAGAUUUAUGCCAGCGGUAUAACGCUGUCUCGUUUUAACAGUGUUAAGUCUGAGCAAAGUCAAAGUGUGCUCUACAUAUCUCAGCCUAAGACUCAAAGUUACCGCUUAAUUUAAAAAAAAAGAUUCAAAGAGAAGUAACUAUUUAAAUACAUAUUCAAUUAAACAGCCUCUUUUGAACUCGACUUUAAGUUUUAUUCUGUAAUAAAACUUGAAAUU